rnacentral:lncRNA from 1 species
AACCAUGCGCAGACCUCUACAUUGCAAAACACAUUGAGAAAUACAGAAUGACUGGAUAAGAUGAUUCCAUCUCCAUCCUUAUAAAGAGAUGGGUAACUCACGACUGCUCAGCAGAGACGUCCACAUCACCUCUAGAUCUCACAGUGCUCACUUUGCUGUCUGUGACACCAGUUUUUUUUUUGGUUCUGACAAACAAGCUGUGGAAAGGAUGAAGGGUGUUAUGAUCUUUCUGGUGUUGACGCUCGCCAAUGUCGUCCUAAUGGAAGAACCCGAAGAGAGUCGUCCUCCACGUCCUGGAUUCCGAUGCGUACUCGGAGGUAUAAGAUUCGGAUGCAGAGGGAGAAUUGGGAAAACCCAAGAUAAAGUGGAUGAAGAUAGAUUGAGGCGAUACUAUGAAGACUGAGUCUGUUCUUGAUUUUGAAGAUAUAGUUUGAGCGAUAUCUUUGUGCUCUGCAAAGCAAGAAAUAAUUGGAUGAGUAAACAUGAAGCUCUUGAGAUGAAGUGAUUUUAGUCACAGCUCCAAUUGAUGUUGAAAGAUGUAAAAUUGCUUGAUAGUUAAAGACUAUCCAGCUGAAUAAAGCUGCAUUCCAAAAGACCGUCUGUGUGUUGUGGUGUGUUUUAAGUGAACAUGUGCCUGUCAUUUUAUUGGUGAUGAUGAUCAAGAACAUUGUUUUUAUUAAGUCAGA